UCUUGAUAAAUAUAAGAGGUCCAGCCUGCCCAGUGACCUAGUUCAACGGCCGCGGUAUCCUAACCGUGCGAAGGUAGCGUAAUCACUUGUUCUUUAAAUGAGGACUAGUAUGAAUGGCACCACGAGGGUUACACUGUCUCCUUUUUUUAAUCAGUGAAACUAAUUUUCCCGUGAAGAAGCGGGAAUUUUUUUAUAAGACGAGAAGACCCUAUGGAGCUUUAAACAAAUUAACAUUUGCUGCCCACAUUAACUUUUCCAGAAAUAUACCACACAGCAUAGCACUAUGAUUAAUAGUUUUCGAUUGGGGUGAUCACGGAGUAAAAAAUAACCUCCAUGCUGAAAGGGCCCUCCCCUGAGCAAAAAGCCACAACUUUAAGCACUAAAAAAUUAACAUAAUUGACCCAAUUUAUUGAUCAACGAACCAAGUUACCCUAGGGAUAACAGCGCAAUCCACUUCAAGAGCUCCUAUCGACAAGUGGGUUUACGACCUCGAUGUUGGAUCAGGGUAUCCUAGUGG
rnacentral:rRNA from 1 species